GGCGGAUCUCUGUGAGUUCGAGACCAUCCUAGUCUAUGAGAGCUAAUUACAGGACAGCCUCCAAAGCCACAGAGAAACCCUGUCUCGAAAAAAUAACAACAAAAAAAAGACUUUGCAUUCUCCUAAAUGUGUAUUGCAGGAAGCCAAGAUAGGAAACAGCUCGCAGCUUACUGAUUUUUUUUUCCAAGACAGGGUUUCUCUGUGUAGCCCUGGCUGACCUUGAACUCACAGAGACUCGCCUGCCUCUGCCUCCUCCACCACCUGGCACAUACUGAUUUUUUAAUUCAUACUUCUCAUUUGCCACGUGAAGAAACAGCUACAGAGGCUUGCUGACUGGCUCAAGGUCCUACAUUAGCUAUAAUACGAAUAGAAAAGAAACUUCACUCCCUUCCCUUACAACUCAAGACUUUUCUGACUUCAUAAUUCCCCCUUAACCCAAUGAGCUGUAAUCCUAGAAUAUAAACGAUUGCCUACACAGUUCAAAGCUAAGUCUGAAUACCUAGGAAGAGCAACAGACAGAAAAGGGGCAACGAAAUUCUGGCUGGUUGGGAGGUGUCAACAAAUACCAUCUCCUCUGAGGGACGCUAAGAGAUUGGAAAGCUGGGUGUGGGUAGAAUACGGUAGAGCCAAAUCCAGCAGUCUAAAUUGGCUUUCCUUACUCCUGAGGGGGAUCCUGAAAGGGGGUCACACAUCCCACCCAACACAGACAGUUCAGAACGGAAAGUCUGCCGACAACAUGGGCCAGCAGAGGUUCAGGGGGUUCCUCCGCCCUCCUGAGGGCAGAUGAAUCUCCGUACCUCCCACCAAACCAGUCCCGGACCGGGCAGGCAGGGGAGGAGCCUGCGCCAGCCAGACGUCCGUGACCACGCCCCUUCGCUUCACCACCACACACCCACACACACCCACUGCCGGCUCCGGAAGAGCCGGUUACUCCUGUGCCCUACUGUCCCCACCCCUUCCGAGCCCAGGCCUAGUCUCCUGGGCAACCUCUAGGCCCUAACCCAGCCUCGAGCCAGGAAGGAAAGGUGUCUGCUAAAGGACCACCUGGGAUUAGCUGGGGAAAACAGGGCGUAAAGCAUUUCCCCCCUCGUCGGGUGACCACGAAUAAAAUCCUUCUUUAUCCCA